rnacentral:rRNA from 1 species
AGAAUCAACGCUGGCGGCGUGCCUAACACAUGCAAGUCGAACGCGAAAGUGGAGCAAUCCAUGAGUAGAGUGGCAAACGGGUGAGUAACACGUGGGUGACCUGCCUUCGAGCGGGGGAUAACGUCCCGAAAGGGACGCUAAUACCGCAUAACAUCCUGCCUUUUAAGAGGUGGAGAUCAAAGCCGGGGAUUCGCAAGAACCUGGCACUUGAAGAGGGGCCCGCGCCUGAUUAGCUAGUUGGUGGGUAAUGGCCUACCAAGGCAACGAUCAGUA